rnacentral:rRNA from 1 species
UGGCGGACGGGUGAGUAACGUGUAAAGAACUUACCAUAUAGACUGGGAUAACAGAGGGAAACUUCUGAUAAUACUGGAUAAGUUAGAGUAGCAUUACUAAGUAAUGAAAGGUAGCAUACGCUAUAUGAGAGCUUUGCAUCCUAUUAGCUAGUUGGUGGGGUAAAAGCCUACCAAGGCGAUGAUAGGUAGCCGGCCUGAGAGGGUGGACGGCCACAAGGGGACUGAGAUACGGCCCUUACUCCUACGGGAGGCAGCAGC